AGUUAUAGAAGUAUAAAAGAAAGAAUCAAAAUCACUGUUUGCCCGCGUAAGGGCCUUUUGUUUACGGUGACAGUCUGAAGCCCUGUUCUUAGGCUUAUGCCUUUGGCUAAGCAACAGAGGCAGCCUUAAGCUGGGAAGUGUAGGGUGACAUGAUCACAUUCUAAACUAGUC